rnacentral:rRNA from 1 species
GAUGAACGCUGGCGGCGUGCCUAACACAUGCAAGUCGAGCGGAAAGACGAGGCGCUUGCGCCGUUGACGUGAGCGGCAGGCGGGUGAGUAACACGUGUAUACCCCACCUGUAAGUCGGGGAUCACCUCGGGAAACCGGAUCUAAUACCGUAGAAUCUACUGAACCGCGGGGUUCAAUAGUGAGAGACGGUGUUUCUGUCACUUAUAGAUGGAUCCGCGCCGCAUGAGCUAGUUGGUAAGGUAACGGCUUACCAAGGCUACGAUGCGUAGCCGACCUCAGGGGGUGAUCGGCCGCACGGGAACUGAGCCGCGGUCCAGGCUCCUGCGGGAGGGCGCAGUAGGGAAUCUUCCGCAGUGGGCGGGAGCUUGACGGAGCAAGCCCGCGCCAGUGAUGGAGGUGUUCGGAUCGUAAUACUGUGUUACUAGUGAAGAACAGAUGUGGCCGUAAAUGUGGACGGAGUGACGGUACCUGGUAAGGAAGCACCGGCUAACUACGUG